UACGUAGGGGGCAAGCGUUGUCCGGAUUUAUUGGGCGCAAAGAGCGUGUAGGCGGUUAGGUAGGUCCGUUCUGAAAACUCGAGGCUCAACCUCGAGACGCGGAUGGAAACCAUCUAACUAGAGUCCGGAAGAGGAGAGUGGAAUUCCUGGUGUAGCGGUGAAAUGCGCAGAUAUCAGGAAGAACACCCGUGGCUAAGGCGGCUCUCUAGUACGGUACUGACGCUGAGACGCGAAAGCGUGGGGAGCGAACAGG
rnacentral:rRNA from 1 species